GCCCGGCUAAGCUCAGUCGGUAGAGCACGAGACUCUCUCUCUCGGGGUCACGUGGGUUCCGGGGAGCCCACACGUUGGGCG